AUGAUGCAUAAUGGAUUUGUUCGCCAGGCGGAUGGAACGGAGAGUAGAGGACGCAGGAUGCUAAGGGGCUUUUCUUUCUAUGUGCAGGUCACCUGAAAACCGCGAAGCCUUCCUCUCCAGGAGAGCUCCUGAACUCACCCUCUGGCUGUGCUUUCAAGAAGGGAGAAGAACGGCUUCACACCCACCUGCCCGCCGCCUCUCCUGCCCGGUCCCCCCCUCCCCAGCCUCCGCCAGCCGCGCGAGCAGCUGCCGGCAUCCCCGGUCCCGCCGGCUCCCCGCUCGCUCAGCAGCCGGAGCCGGCAGCUCCCCCGGCGGCCGCCUCUGCACCACUCGCCAACCUCCACACCGGGCGGAGGUCAUGCCCGCCUGCCCCCGGCGCCCGGGCUGCCCCUCCUCGCAUCAGCCGAACACCCGGGAGCUGGGCUGGGGAAGGGGCCCCACGGCGGAGUUGGCACGGGGACUCACCAGAAUCUUUCCCCUCAUCCCCUUGGCACUCUCCGUCACUCUGGCAUCACAUGUACCUCGUCACUUUUUCCUGAGAAGAUCCUUGAGGUUCCAGUUCUUUUCCCUGCCACCCCCUGCCUACUGUGAGCUACAAAGCUGAGCUGAGACAUUUAACUUGUUUCCGAACCCACAAUCCUGUCGCUAUUGAAAUGGCAUUCAAAGUGCACUCUCCUCCCCUACGGAAUGAUGGAAAGGAAGGCUGAGGGCGUGACACACUGAACAAGAAGGCUGGCCAGUCUCCCACUGCUUGUGACAGGCUCAGAGUGGUCUGUAACUCAUACUGGAAAGAGAACGAACGAGGGAAAACACAAGGAAAAGGAACCCUUCCCCACCAGAUGCUUCAGAAUCUAACUGAAUUUGAAAAAGAAGCUGACAGAUAAGAACUGGAUUUACAUAAACCAAAACUAAAGUUUUGGAAUUGAAAUCCAAUUUUGAAGAUCAAAAGUGAAAUUGCAGAAAACCCAAACAAAUGAUGUGGAAUCAGGCUAGAAAAGUUCUCUAUCAAUGUAGAGAAAAGAAAAUCAGAUGAGAGAAAAGAUGGGCAACUUGGUAGAUCAAAAUAAAAGACUUAAUAUGUGGAUAAGAAGGAUGCCAUCAAAGAAGAUAUAACCAGAAUAAAAUUACGUUGCUGCAGUUUCGAAGAAAAACAAUGGAAGAAAACUUCUCAAGCUGUAAAAAGAAGUUGA